rnacentral:rRNA from 1 species
AUUGAACGCUGGCGGCAUGCCUAACACAUGCAAGUCGAACGGGGUAGCAAUACCCAGUGGCGGACGGGUGAGGAAUACAUAGGAAUUUGCCUUUAGGUGGGGGAUAGCCCGGGGAAACUCGGAGUAAUACCGCAUGAUGUCGAAAGACCAAAGUAGGGGAUCGCAAGACCUUGCGCCUUUAGAGAAGCCUAUGUCUGAUUAGCUAGUUGGUAGGGUAAUGGCCUACCAAGGCACGANCAGUAACUGGUCUGAGAGGACGAUCAGUCACACCGGAACUGAGACACGGUCCGGACUCCUACGGGAGGCAGCAGUGGGGAAUAUUGGACAAUGGGCGAAAGCCUGAUCCAGCAAUGCCGCGUGUGUGAAGAAG